GUAUUUUCUUCGGCAGCACCUUUACUAAAAUUGGAAUGAUACAGAGAAGAUUAGAAUGGCACCCGUGCAAGGAUGCUACACAGAUUCAUCCAUAUUGCA
rnacentral:snRNA from 1 species